CUCUCGGCAACGGAUAUCUCGGCUCUCGCAUCGAUGAAGAACGUAGCGAAAUGCGAUACCUGGUGUGAAUUGCAGAAUCCCGCGAACCAUCGAGUCUUUGAACGCAAGUUGCGCCCAAGGCCUCUUGGCCGAGGGCACGCCUGCCUGGGCGUCACGCAAAACA
rnacentral:rRNA from 1 species